GUUUUCUUACAGAAGUCUGCUCACACACCAGUUGACCAGGGUCUUAAAAGAAUCCUUAUCUACUUCGACCAGAGAAAUUCCAACCCAAGGGAACUUGGAAUUUAUGGAUUUUGAAGGCAACAAGACCUAAGCUUGUCUGAAGUAUGACAAAUUGGAACUGUGCAUAUUUAAGACAUUUAAGGUGUACAUCCUGACGUUUGGAGUCUGGCUUAUCAACAUAAUGUGCCCAGCAUCACCCACAUGGAGGCUUUAGUUAUAAUCCUCGUGCACUGGUUUGGACCCUGGAAUUCGUUUGAAGAGAUGUAGAUCAUCAGCUGAGUGCCAUGUGCCAACCGUGAGACCCAGACUGAUGUUGGACAUGUUUGUAGUUUUGGGGAAGUUCAGACCCUCACUACAUUUUUCUUCGUGCCAUCCUGAAACCAUCUGUCUGUUUUUCGUUUCAUGGCGUCUUCUACCUUCAGUGGCCAGCUCUUGCCAGGAAUGGAUUUUUCUGAAGUAUCAAGAGGUCACAAAUAACAAGAUGGUGCUGCAGCUCUUUCCCCCAUUGCUUAAUAUCUUGAUGGCAUUUUAAAGACCAUGGGUUCUGAAUCAACCUGUUGCCGUUUUAUCCAAGAUUCUUCACCAAAAGUCCUCUAUCCUUGCUGGACCGUGGUGCCCACUGACCAUGAAUGAAAUUCUUCUCCCUCGCCACCAACGUGCUCCCAUUCACCUGGGACCCAGCAGCAUGUCUACAGCCACCUCUGUUCAUGACUUCCCCAUCCUCUUGACACAUUACCAUCACCUGAGAAAUACCGAGCAGCAAAGAACUUCUGCAAUGCCAACCAAACUAUCACAGUUGUUCAUAUCCCUGCUUCUCCUGCUGUGUCCGCAGCUCUUUUUGACCAUUCCUACAGGCCAAGAACCUGGAAACACCUGGCCCAGAUCCUGACUGCUAUCAACACACCAACUUUGUCCAGCUUGAAAACAAAGCAGAACAAAACAAGACAAAGGCAAAGACAAAAAAACAAAACAAAACAAAAAAAUCCCCCAAAGACCAAAACCAAAACAAAAAACCCACCAAAA
rnacentral:lncRNA from 1 species